GACGAACGCUGGCGGCGUGCUUAACACAUGCAAGUCGAACGAAGAGCGAUGGAUGCUUGCUUCUAUCAAUCUUAGUGGCGAACGGGUGAGUAACGCGUAAUCAACCUGCCCUUCAGAGGGGGACAACAGUUGGAAACGACUGCUAAUACCGCAUACGAUCUAAUCUCGGCAUCGAGGAUAGAUGAAAGGUGGCCUCUACAUGUAAGCUAUCACUGAAGGAGGGGAUUGCGUCUGAUUAGCUAGUUGGAGGGGUAACGGCCCACCAAGGCGAUGAUCAGUAGCCGGUCUGAGAGGAUGAACGGCCACACUGGGACUGAGACACGGCCCAGACUCCUACGGGAGGCAGCAGUGGGGAAUCUUCCGCAAUGGACGAAAGUCUGACGGAGCAACGCCGCGUGAGUGAUGACGGCCUUCGGGUUGUAAAGCUCUGUUAAUCGGGACGAAAGGCCUUCUUGCGAAUAGUGAGAAGGAUUGACGGUACCGGAAUAGAAAGCCACGGCUAACUACGUG
rnacentral:rRNA from 1 species